rnacentral:misc_RNA from 1 species
GAAAUGCGAUAAGUAAUGUGAAUUGCAGAAUUCCGUGAAUCAUCGAAUCUUUGAACGCACAUUGCGCCCCCUGGUAUUCCGGGGGGCAUGCCUGUCCGAGCGUCAUUGCAACCUUCAAGCGCGGCUUGUGUGUUGGGCCUCGUCCCCCGUGGACGUGCCCGAAAGGCAGUGGCGGCGUCCGUUUCGGUGCCCGAGCGUAUGGGAAUCCUUAUAAGCUCAACAGGCCCGGCGGCGCUGGUCGAAACCAUAUUUUACCGGUUGACCUCGGAUCAGGUAGGGAUACCCGCUGAACUUAA